rnacentral:rRNA from 1 species
UACGUAGGCAGCGAGCGUUGUUCGGAAUUACUGGGCGUAAAGAGUGUGUAGGCGGUGUUCCCAGUCUGUUGUGAAAUCUCCGAGCUUAACUCGGAACUGUCAGCUGAUACUGAUGUGCUAGAGUGCAGAAGGGGCAAUCGGAAUUCUUGGUGUAGCGGUGAAAUGCGUAGAUAUCAAGAGGAACACCUGAGGUGAAGACGGGUUGCUGGGCUGACACUGACGCUGAUAGCGCGAAAGCCAGGGGAGCAAACGGG